AAGUGGCGACGGGUGCGUAACACGUGAGCAACCUGCCUCGGAGACCGGGAUAACUCGGGGAAACUCGAGCUAAUACCGGAUGCCCUCCCCGGACCGCAUGGUCUGGUGAGGAAAUGGUCUUCCGCUCCGAGAUGGGCUCGCGGCCUAUCAGCUUGUUGGUGGGGUAAUGGCCUACCAAGGCAACGACGGGUAGCUGGUCUGAGAGGAUGUCCAGCCACACUGGAACUGAGACACGGUCCAGACUCCUACGGGAGGCAGCAGUGGGGAAUCUUGCGCAAUGGGCGAAAGCCUGACGCAGCGACGCCGCGUGCGGGAUGAAGGCCCUCGGGUCGUAAACCGCUUUCAGCAGGGACGAUUGUGACGGUACCUGCAGAAGAAGCCCCGGCCAA
rnacentral:rRNA from 1 species